GCCUGAUUGCCGCCCUCGGGGCUGGUGCCUGAAACCGCUGCUGGCAGAGUUGCUACUAUUGAUGUCCCUAUUUUAUAUUUUCUGGCCUGGGCAAAUUGAGAUUAUACAUGGACUUAUGAGAACCCAAUAAAUGAAGACUGCCAAGGAGAUAUCCUGACUCAGUGAUCAAAUUGUGCCUUGACUAUUCCCCCUUCCUGGGGAGCACUAGCUCUCUUUGGGGUAGCACAAACCCCACCUCCUCCACUGGUGGGCUUUCUGCCCUGGCCUCCUCUAUCCUCAUCUGUAAAAGGGGUAUAAUCAUGUUUCCCCUCUUUUGUAAAGAGCUUUAAUAUCUGUAAAUGUAAAGCACUAUACAAGUCCAGAAAUAUAUAUAAAUAUAAAAUCAUAUUUAUUAUUAUUAGCCACAGCCCAACACUAGAUUUUUUCUGGAGGUCUUGUUUUCUGCCUCUGACAGACAGCGGGUUUUGUUUUCGUCAAGACAGAUUUGGGUUUGUGCUAAUAAUGGAGGUGUUUGAGGAGCAAGGGCUUUAAUCAUAGUCCUCGCAUUCUCUUAGCCACAGACUCCUCUCUUUGCCUUAACCCUGUGAAUAUACACAGGAGUAAUUUGGUGGCAGUGCAGAAUCAGUCCCCUGCACUCCCUGUUCAGUUCAGCAUGUUUAAUCUGUGCAAUACUUUGCACUUGCUCUGUGCAAAAUAAAGCCUAGCGGCUCAAGACACAUAAAAAGUGUGUGUACGCUAUUUCUUGUUAGUUACUUUGCUUAAUAAUCAUACUGAUUAGUUUCCAGAAAUUUUUACUUCACUGUCAGAAACACUUUCUCACCCAUUUAGCUAAGCUUCCUGAUGUUUCUGCUUAAUGUUAAUCAGGCUGUCUGUUUUGAAGUUUCCAUAUUGGAGUUUGCACCUAAAGAUAUAAAGUCUGUGUGGUAUAAAACCUGGGCCAAGUUACUUGAAGAAAACCGUGUCAUAAAAACUCACAUUGGUGAAAAUGGUUUAUGUUUUUCUACAACUAAAAUAAAAUUUACUCCAAAUGCAGCUGACAGAGGGAGAAGGAUCAGAUGUGAGGUUACUAAUCCAACAACUCACUCCCGUAUAGAGAGAGCCUUUGAAUUGAAACUCAGAGAUUUAAAGAUUUCUCAACUAGCUGUGAAUGAAUACCUACUCUGACGGUAAAUCAGAACCACACAAAGCCAUCAACAAGAAUACAGAUGACAUCUACAUUUCCUGGUUUAAGGGGAAAUAUCUCACCGACGAAGGAAUAGAAAAUGCUGAGUCUGAGGGUGGUUUUAUUUUCUCUGUGACGUUUAAAGCUGAAGAACAAAAUAAAGAAUGCAAGGUCAGAUGUGAGGCUGAUACU
rnacentral:lncRNA from 1 species